CCUUUCCUCUGCUGCAGGAUACAGAAGUUCCUCACACCACAGAUCAUUGCUCAGGAAUUUGGCCCUGAAGAGAGAAAGAUACUGGGGUCAGCAGCCCUUUUCAACUUCCUCUCCAAACUUGGACUGGAGAAAUUUUAUCCCAACAAGCUCACUCUUCGCUCUCUCUUGGAAAUCAACAAAAACAGUAUUUAUGAUGAAACUGUUGAAUCACUGGAGAAAAUACCAUGGUGCUUUCUCAGGAA